AAAUAAAAAAGAAUGGUGAUAAAAAUAAACUUUUCUCUUUGUUUUCUCUUAUUGCCGUAACUAAGCAAGAAAGAAAGGAAAGAACACCAAAGGCACUCGGUCACUCGGUGUUGGGAAUUAAGAUUAAGCUCAAGAGCUUAAGGAGCCUAAUUCGGAUAGGGGAAAAGCUACACUAACCAAAUAGCUGAUCCGUAGUCGUUCGACGACAUUUGAGAUUGUGGACCCUGAUUACCAGCUCGGGGAUCGU